rnacentral:misc_RNA from 1 species
UAGGUGGCAGCAGCAGGGAUACAG